UUAAGCGACUAAGCGUACACGGUGGAUGCCCUGGCAGUCAGAGGCGAUGAAGGACGUGCUAAUCUGCGAUAAGCGUCGGUGAGGUGAUAUGAACCGUUAUAACCGGCGAUUUCCGAAUGGGGAAACCCAGUGUGUUUCGAUACACUAUCAUUAACUGAAUCCAUAGGUUAAUGAGGCGAACCGGGGGAACUGAAACAUCUAAGUACCCCGAGGAAAAGAAAUCAACCGAGAUUCCCCCAGUAGCGGCGAGCGAACGGGGAGGAGCCCAGAGCCUGAAUCAGUGUGUGUGUUAGUGGAAGCGUCUGGAAAGGCGCGCGAUACAGGGUGACAGCCCCGUACACAAAAAUGCACAUAUUGUGAGCUCGAUGAGUAGGGCGGGACACGUGGUAUCCUGUCUGAAUAUGGGGGGACCAUCCUCCAAGGCUAAAUACUCCUGACUGACCGAUAGUGAACCAGUACCGUGAGGGAAAGGCGAAAAGAACCCCGGCGAGGGGAGUGAAAAAGAACCUGAAACCGUGUACGUACAAGCAGUGGGAGCCUCUUAAUGGGGUGACUGCGUACCUUUUGUAUAAUGGGUCAGCGACUUAUAUUCUGUAGCAAGGUUAACCGAAUAGGGGAGCCGAAGGGAAACCGAGUCUUAACUGGGCGUUAAGUUGCAGGGUAUAGACCCGAAACCCGGUGAUCUAGCCAUGGGCAGGUUGAAGGUUGGGUAACACUAACUGGAGGACCGAACCGACUAAUGUUGAAAAAUUAGCGGAUGACUUGUGGCUGGGGGGGAAAGGCCAAUCAAACCGGGAGAUAGCUGGUUCUCCCCGAAAGCUAUUUAGGUAGCGCCUCGUGAAUUCAUCUCCGGGGGUAGAGCACUGUUUCGGCAAGGGGGUCAUCCCGACUUACCAACCCGAUGCAAACUGCGAAUACCGGAGAAUGUUAUCACGGGAGACACACGGCGGGUGCUAACGUCCGUCGUGAAGAGGGAAACAACCCAGACCGCCAGCUAAGGUCCCAAAGUCAUGGUUAAGUGGGAAACGAUGUGGGAAGGCCCAGACAGCCAGGAUGUUGGCUUAGAAGCAGCCAUCAUUUAAAGAAAGCGUAAUAGCUCACUGGUCGAGUCGGCCUGCGCGGAAGAUGUAACGGGGCUAAACCAUGCACCGAAGCUGCGGCAGCGACGCUUAUGCGUUGUUGGGUAGGGGAGCGUUCUGUAAGCCUGUGAAGGUGGCCUGUGAGGGUUGCUGGAGGUAUCAGAAGUGCGAAUGCUGACAUAAGUAACGAUAAAGCGGGUGAAAAGCCCGCUCGCCGGAAGACCAAGGGUUCCUGUCCAACGUUAAUCGGGGCAGGGUGAGUCGACCCCUAAGGCGAGGCCGAAAGGCGUAGUCGAUGGGAAACAGGUUAAUAUUCCUGUACUUGGUGUUACUGCGAAGGGGGGACGGAGAAGGCUAUGUUGGCCGGGCGACGGUUGUCCCGGUUUAAGCGUGUAGGCUGGUUUUCCAGGCAAAUCCGGAAAACCAAGGCUGAGGCGUGAUGACGAGGCACUACGGUGCUGAAGCGACAAAUGCCCUGCUUCCAGGAAAAGCCUCUAAGCAUCAGGUAACAUCAAAUCGUACCCCAAACCGACACAGGUGGUCAGGUAGAGAAUACCAAGGCGCUUGAGAGAACUCGGGUGAAGGAACUAGGCAAAAUGGUGCCGUAACUUCGGGAGAAGGCACGCUGAUAUGUAGGUGAAGCGACUUGCUCGUGGAGCUGAAAUCAGUCGAAGAUACCAGCUGGCUGCAACUGUUUAUUAAAAACACAGCACUGUGCAAACACGAAAGUGGACGUAUACGGUGUGACGCCUGCCCGGUGCCGGAAGGUUAAUUGAUGGGGUUAGCGGUAACGCGAAGCUCUUGAUCGAAGCCCCGGUAAACGGCGGCCGUAACUAUAACGGUCCUAAGGUAGCGAAAUUCCUUGUCGGGUAAGUUCCGACCUGCACGAAUGGCGUAAUGAUGGCCAGGCUGUCUCCACCCGAGACUCAGUGAAAUUGAACUCGCUGUGAAGAUGCAGUGUACCAGCGGCAAGACGGAAAGACCCCGUGAACCUUUACUAUAGCUUGACACUGAACAUUGAGCCUUGAUGUGUAGGAUAGGUGGGAGGCUUUGAAGUGUGGACGCCAGUCUGCAUGGAGCCGACCUUGAAAUACCACCCUUUAAUGUUUGAUGUUCUAACGUUGGCCCGUAAUCCGGGUUGCGGACAGUGUCUGGUGGGUAGUUUGACUGGGGCGGUCUCCUCCUAAAGAGUAACGGAGGAGCACGAAGGUUGGCUAAUCCUGGUCGGACAUCAGGAGGUUAGUGCAAUGGCAUAAGCCAGCUUGACUGCGAGCGUGACGGCGCGAGCAGGUGCGAAAGCAGGUCAUAGUGAUCCGGUGGUUCUGAAUGGAAGGGCCAUCGCUCAACGGAUAAAAGGUACUCCGGGGAUAACAGGCUGAUACCGCCCAAGAGUUCAUAUCGACGGCGGUGUUUGGCACCUCGAUGUCGGCUCAUCACAUCCUGGGGCUGAAGUAGGUCCCAAGGGUAUGGCUGUUCGCCAUUUAAAGUGGUACGCGAGCUGGGUUUAGAACGUCGUGAGACAGUUCGGUCCCUAUCUGCCGUGGGCGCUGGAGAACUGAGGGGGGCUGCUCCUAGUACGAGAGGACCGGAGUGGACGCAUCACUGGUGUUCGGGUUGUCAUGCCAAUGGCACUGCCCGGUAGCUAAAUGCGGAAGAGAUAAGUGCUGAAAGCAUCUAAGCACGAAACUUGCCCCGAGAUGAGUUCUCCCUGAGACUUAGAGUCUCCUGAAGGAACGUUGAAGACGACGACGUUGAUAGGCCGGGUGUGUAAGCGCAGCGAUGCGUUGAGCUAACCGGUACUAAUGAACCGUGAGGCUUAACCUU
rnacentral:rRNA from 1 species